rnacentral:other from 1 species
UUGACGCUGCGGGGCUCGAGAAGUGUGAUAAAUCUCCAGGGCCAAUAUCUACCAAUCGGGAGCUGUCCCUGUUGUACUCUUGGGUACGAUAUAUGGCGCCCACCUAGACCUACCGGCCUAGGAUGAUUAGAUGCGGACCGACCUACGCGGCGUCACC